GGAGAGAUGUCCGAGUGGUUUAAGGAGCGCGCCUGGAGAGCGCGUAGGCGUGAUGAGCGCCUCCAGGGUUCGAAUCCCUGUCUCUCCG
rnacentral:tRNA from 2 species